rnacentral:sRNA from 1 species
GCUGGGUGUGGUGGCUCAUGCCUGUAAUCCCAGCUACUUGGGAGGCUGAGGCAGGAGAAUCGCUUGAACCCAGGAGGUGGAGGUUGCAGUGAGCCGAGAUUAUGCCACUGCACUCCAGCCUGGGUGACAAAGUGAGGCUCUGUCUCAA